CUGGAUCCCCCCAAAGGUUGUUCAAUGCAGUUGCCCACACCAGAGUGAAGAUGUACCUGGAGGUCCCUGUGGGAGUCCCAACCGUGGAGACGUGCUGCCUCAGGGGGGUGACCUUCCUGCUGUGAUGAUGCGCUGAAACUGGAGGCUGGGAGAGACUGGACACCCAGAGGAGACCAACACUCAUCUGACCAGAAAGUAGAGGAUGGAGGUUGGAUGGCCCAGGGAGCUGGGUACAGUCUUUGCCCCCAUAGCGAGGAGAGAUGCAGCCUCUGUGUCUGACCUGCACUCCACCACAACCGCUGGAACAGUUGGACCAGCUCACCCAUGGCAGCCACCGUCCAUCCACUGCAGAGAAGGAGAGCAAUUUUAGAGACACACCGGUUAAAAUGUGAUG